GGAAGACGAAAGCACAGCCAUACGGGGUAAGGCCAGUGAGGGCGAGUGAAAGAAAGGACUCAGGCCCAUACCAUCCGGUUACGUCUCUAGGUCCGAGGGGGUGCCAGAAAAGGGUAUAGAAGAAGCACCCUGAUAGGUAAGGAUGUUUUUGUCAGACAAAUACCUUAAGUCACAGUUCAAUCUUCAUCUUAAUAAGAAUAAGAGUCAAGGAAAUCGUGUCCAUCUACGGAAUAAGUCUCAAAUCAAUGUGGAUUCUAGGUUCCGUCCAGAUGUGGUAGAAAGAAGGGCUUAAGACGGAUAAGGAAUAGUCAUCAUUUAUAGACUUCCUCACUAAUCAUCUUCCUUAUCGUACUACUGUACACAACUAGAAAGGGGGCAACAACUCAUGAGUUCAAAGCCGUAUCUCAGUAUCUAAGUAGCCCUUCCUUAUACUAAGUGGCUUACAGCUUAUUUCUACUUGUCCGGAAGCGAAACAAAAAGCUUACUUAACUCGUAGUGAGCCUACCAUUGCUUUCAACAUUCCGCGUUCGUUCAUCGGAUGUAUGGGCUUAAUAUAAAUAAAUAAAUAAAGCUAGAUAGAGUGGCAAGGAUAGAUGCGUUAUGGGACACAGAUGGCAAUAGAGAUCUUCCUAUAUUACUCGGAAGGGAAAGUCGAAAGUGAAAGUCGAAAGUGAAAGUAACACUUGCCUCGGAUCAAGUCAGCACGCGCCACCCGCUGGUUCAGGAGAAAGCAAUCGAAGUUAUCAAGAAAAGAGUCAAAGGUCUUUUCGAACGGGGUUGUUGUUAGCCGUGAGUCGUUUUAUGUACAGGUUUUGGGUGCAGGGUUUUGAUGGAUUCCUUCUUCUGCUCACCAGGGUUUUGAUGGAUUCCUUCUUCUGCUCAUCGGGAUUCGUUUAAGGCUCCAUCCGAAUCAAGGAGAAGCAACAGUCUAAGAAACCAACCAAGGUAGAAUGUCAUUAUGUACACUGAGUAAAGUCAAUAAUAGGAAACACCAAACCCAUAAGGAAUCAAGU
rnacentral:lncRNA from 1 species